GGAGGGACUGUAGCUCAGCAGUAGAGCAUCUGCCUUGCAUGCAGAAGCUACCAAGUUUGAUUCCUGGCACCUCCA